GGAAGGGAUGUAUUUAUUAGAUAAAAAACCAAUGCCCUUCGGGGCUCCUUGGUGAAUCAUAAUAACUUAACGAAUCGCAUGGCCUUGCGCCGGCGAUGGUUCAUUCAAAUUUCUGCCCUAUCAACUUUCGAUGGUAGGAUAGUGGCCUACCAUGGUAUCAACGGGUAACGGGGAAUUAGGGUUCGACUCCGGAGAGGGAGCCUGAGAAACGGCUACCACAUCCAAGGAAGGCAGCAGGCGCGCUAAUUACCCAAUCCCGACACGGGGAGGUAGUGACAAUAAAUACUGAUACAGGGCUCUUUUGGGUCUUGUAAUUGGAAUGAGUACAAUUUAAAUCCCUUAACGAGGAACAAUUGGAGGGCAAGUCUGGUGCCAGCAGCCGCGGUAAUUCCAGCUCCAAUAGCGUAUAUUAAAGUUGUUGCAGUUAAAAAGCUCGUAGUUGAACCUUGGGCCUGGCUGGCCGGUCCGCCUCACCGCGUGUACUGGUCCGGCCGGGCCUUUCCUUCUGGGGAACCUCAUGCCCUUCACUGGGCGUGUUGGGGAACCAGGACUUUUAC
rnacentral:rRNA from 1 species